rnacentral:rRNA from 1 species
GCAAGAGUGAAACUCAAAGGAAUUGACGAGGGCCCGCACAAGCGGUGGAGCAUGUGGUUUAAUUCGAUGCAACGCGAAGAACCUUACCAGGGUUUGACAUGAUACGAAUUUCUUUGAAAGAAGAAAGUGCCGUUUGGAGCGUAUACACAGCUGGUGCAUGGCUGUCGUCAGCUCGUGUCGUGAGACGUUGGGUUAAGUCCCGCAACGAGCGCAACCCUUGUUUUUAGUUGCCUUUUAAGGAACUCUAGAAAGACUGCCGGUUAUAAACCGGAGGAAGGCGGGGAUGACGUCAAGUCAGCAUGCCCCUUACACCCUGGGCUACACACGUGCUACAUUGGGCGAGACAAUGAGAUGCAACUCUGUGAAGAUUAGCUAAUCUAUAAACUCGUUCUAAGUUCGGAUUGUAGGCUGCAACUCGCCUACAUGAAGGUGGAAUCGCUAGUAAUCGCUGGUCAGCUACACAGCGGUGAAUCCGUUCCCGGGCCUUGUA